GAUGAAGAACGCAGUGAAAUGCGAUAAGUAAUGUGAAUUGCAGAAUUCAGUGAAUCAUCGAAUCUUUGAACGCACAUUGCGCCCCUUGGUAUUCCGAGGGGCAUGCCUGUUCGAGCGUCAUUAUAACCCUCAAGCUCAGCUUGGUGUUGGGGCCUGCUGCACUGGCAGCCCUUAAAAUCAGUGGCGGCGCCAUCUGGCUCUAAGCGUAGUAAUUCUUCUCGCUAUGGAGUCCUGGUGGAUGCUUGCCAUCAACCCCCAAUUUUUCUAUGGUUGACCUCGGAUCAGGUAGGGAUACCCGCUGAACUUAAGCAUAUCAAUAAGCGGAUGA
rnacentral:misc_RNA from 1 species